AGAACCUGGAAGACAAACUAUGGUCGUGGUCGUGAUAGUGGCAAUCGGUCCGUUCGUCCAGGGAUUUCACGCUUUUUCUAGCAUAUAUUUCUUUUUCUAUAUAUAUAUUUUUUUUUUCAUAUGCACAUCGAACAGCCAAGUGCUCGGGUGUACUAUAUAUAUAUAUCUCUUUUUUUUUUUUAAAUAAUGGCAUUAGAUGGCGCGAUGAUUGACGAUUGCUGAUUGCCGGUUUGCAUGCGUGACACGGGGGUGACGUUAUGGCGUUAUUUUCAUGGCGGCAGCUCGCCAGUCUCUCGCCAGUGUCUUAUUAGAGAAGUGGUGGACACGUCGGUUGCGGUGCCUCGCGUGAAAUGUGGCUCGACGAACGCUCGUGCGCUUUGCGACAAGGUGGGGGCGGAGGCAGACGUCUGACGAUCGCCGGGCAGACGAUCGGGUGACAGGUACUCGAUAGCCAGGUUCCGGUGGCUCGUACCUAUGACUCGUAACGUGGAGGCAUGGAAUGCGACAUUUGCAGGUCUGAAUGGAGUCCGUUGUCAAGGUAGAUAGAUAGAUAGAUGGAUAGAUGGGUGUACGUAGUAAGGUUUGAAGCACUGGAUUUUGCCAAAGCAUUUUCUCGUCGUGCCGAUUUGCGUGCAUGGAUCGAGAUUGAUGGGAAGGAGGGAUGGGGAGUGCAUGCACGCGGAGAGACGUGGAUGGAUUGUUGGAUUUUUUUAAUUGAACUUAAUUGUGCUUUGAUUAAAUAAUGGCACGGUGUACCGGUUCGUGGAAUUAUCGAGCUGUCGUUCGGAUCUCCAGAGAUUCGAAUAUCCAUGUUAAUUACAGUAGAAUGGAUAAAUAUAGGAUAUAAAUAGGAAUAUACGAUUUAUAACGCCGAAAGAUCGGCGAUGCACACAUGUAUUAUCCGUUGUUCCGGAUACGUACACACGGUGGAAGUUUGUAUAAAGGUGUUGUUUUACGCUGCUAUAUUAUGCGACUCUGUCCUCGAAUUCGAUGAAAAGGCUGGGACAAACGUGCUCGUCCACAAGCAUCCAUCGUGCAACGACCCAUACUCUUUUGUCUCGUAUCUCACUCUAUGCAUCUUCGCGUACCAUUAUGGACACGUUCUAAAACGUUCCAAAACGUGAGAGGCAAAGUGACAAUUCUCUUUAUCGGGCGAAAUUAAACGUUUCGCUCGAAACACAACGUCCAACAACGAGUUCUUCGAGUCGAAGAAAAUGAAAAUUCAUUUCGUUAUUUACAAGUUAAUCCUUUUUCUUUUUUCUUUUCCAAAUUGAACACGUUCCUUUUUAGAAACAACUACACCCAUAGAAACACGAAUUUCAUAAAUAAUAAAAUACCGAUCUUAAGUAAAAAAAAUCUCAAGAAAUCGAGACGAAACUUAUAUCAUUAUUU